rnacentral:rRNA from 1 species
UACGAAGGGGGCUAGCGUUGCUCGGAAUCACUGGGCGUAAAGCGCACGUAGGCGGAUUGUUAAGUCAGGGGUGAAAUCCUGGAGCUCAACUCCAGAACUGCCUUUGAUACUGGCGAUCUCGAGUCCGGGAGAGGUGAGUGGAACUGCGAGUGUAGAGGUGAAAUUCGUAAAUAUUCGCAAGAACACCAGUGGCGAAGGCGGCUCACUGGCCCGGUACUGACGCUGAGGUGCGAAAGCGUGGGGAGCAAACAGG